rnacentral:rRNA from 1 species
UAACGAGUUGAACGGGGUUGUAGCUGGCCUUCACGGGCAUGUGCACACCUCACUCAUCCACUCUACACCUGUGCACUCACUGUGGGUUUCGAGAGGCCGCGCUUGCGUGGUUGAUCGGGCUCACGUCUAUUACAAACUCUUCAGUAUCAGAAUGUGUAUCGCGAUGUAACGCAUCUAUAUACAACUUUCAGCAACGGAUCUCUUGGCUCUCGCAUCGAUGAAGAACGCAGCGAAAUGCGAUAAGUAAUGUGAAUUGCAGAAUUCAGUGAAUCAUCGAAUCUUUGAACGCACCUUGCGCUCCUUGGUAUUCCGAGGAGCAUGCCUGUUUGAGUGUCGUGUAAUUCUCAACCUAUAAAUCCUUGUGGUUUUUAGGCUUGGACUUGGAGGCUUUUGCUGGCUUUACCGUCGGCUCCUCUUAAACGCAUUAGCUUGAUUCCUUGCGGAUCGGCUCUCAGUGUGAUAAUUAUCUGCGCUGUGACCGUGAAGCGUUUGGCGAGCUUCUAACCGUCUCUUCGAGACAAACACUUUGACAUCUGACCUCAAAUCAGGUAGGACUACCCGCUGAACUUAAGCAUAUCAAUAAGCGGAGGAAAAGAAACUAACAAGGAUUCCCCUAGUAACUGCGAGUGAAGCGGGAAGAGCUCAAAUUUAAAAUCUGGCGGUCUUUGGCCGUCCGAGUUGUAGUCUGGAGAAGUGCUUUCCGCGCUGGACCGUGUACAAGUCUCUUGGAACAGAGCGUCAUAGAGGGUGAGAAUCCCGUCUUUGACACGGACUACCAGUGCUUUGUGAUGCGCUCUCAAAGAGUCGAGUUGUUUGGGAAUGCAGCUCAAAA